rnacentral:rRNA from 1 species
UCGAGCGAACAGACGUAGGUAGCUUGCUACUUUGACGUUAGCGGCGGACGGGUGAGUAACACGUAGGUAACCUACCUAUAAGAGUGGGAUAACUAACGGGAAACCGGAGCUAAUACCGGAUAAUAUUACGAACCGCAUGGUUCGAUAGUGAAAGAUGGCUUUAGCUAUCACACAUAGAUGGACCUGCGCCGUAUUAGCUAGUUGGUAAGGUAACGGCUUACCAAGGCAACGAUACGUAGCCGACCUGAGAGGGUGAUCGGCCACACUGGAACUGAGACACGGUCCAGACUCCUACGGGAGGCAGCAGUAGGGAAUCUUCCGCAAUGGGCGAAAGCCUGACGGAGCAACGCCGCGUGAGUGAUGAAGGUCUUCGGAUCGUAAAACUCUGUUAUUAGGGAAGAACAAACGUGUAAGUAACUGUGCACGUCUUGACGGUACCUAAUCAGAAAGCCACGGCUAACUACGUGCCAGCAGCCGCGGUAAUACGUAGGUGGCAAGCGUUAUCCGGAAUUAUUGGGCGUAAAGCGCGCGUAGGCGGUUUUUUAAGUCUGAUGUGAAAGCCCACGGCUCAACCGUGGAGGGUCAUUGGAAACUGGAAAACUUGAGUGCAGAAGAAGAAAGUGGAAUUCCUGGGGUAGCGGUGAAAUGCGCAGAGAUAUGGAGGAACACCAGUGGCGAAAGCGACUUUCUGGUCUGUAACUGACGCUGAUGUGCGAAAGCGUGGGGAUCAAACAGGAUUAGAUACCCUGGUAGUCCACGCCGU